AAGGCUUUAUCUUAAUGAAAGAAUUUGAGUUGCAUUCAGAAGAUGUAGGUUAGUAUCCUGCAAGCCUU
rnacentral:tRNA from 1 species